rnacentral:rRNA from 1 species
UGCAUGGCUGUCGUCAGCUCAUGUCGUGAGAUGUUGGGUUAAGUCCGUAACGAGCGCAACCUGUCCUUAGUUACCAGCACGUUAUGGUGGGCACUCUAAGGAGACUGCCGGUGACAAACCGGAGGAAGGUGGGGAGUGACGUCAAGUCAUCAUGGCCCUUACGGCCUGGGCUACACACGUGCUUCAAUGGUCGGUACAAAGGGUUGCCAAGCCGCGAGGUGGAGCUAAUCCCAUAAAACCGAUCGUAGUCCGGAUCGCAGUCUGCAACUCGACUGCGUGAAGUCGGAAUCGCUAGUAAUCGUGAAUCAGAAUGUCACGGUGAAUACGUUCCCGGGCCUU